CAGCGAGCCUGCCGUGCCGCCCCAGUGAGUUGUGUGGGUCCUCAGCACUUCUGCGAGUUGUUUUUAUAAACAACCUAUCUGCACUGUGGGUGUGUCCUGGUUCCGGGUGUGUGUACACACACCUCAGCAGUGUCAAUAUUGUGUCAGGAGGAGGUCUGGUUCCACAUCAUCCCUUGCCACACCCCAGUUUCAUGGGAAGAAAGCCCAGUUUAGGAGCUGGAAGGGAGCCAGAGGCACACUGCAACAUUUGCCUGCCCUGGUAUCUAUUAUGUAGCCAUUAAAUAAUGCAGAGCUCAAAACAGGUGGUUGCAGGAUCCAUAAAAGAAAGGUGACAGGUCUGGGGCGGGGUGGUUACAAAGUACAUUUUGAGACCUUCCUGUUAGAUGGGUUCUUUUAGAGGYGAUGCCUCACUACAUCCUUUCUAUCCAGCUGUUCAUUCAAGUCCUAAAUACAUUUGGGACUUCUUCCCCCCCUGCCAAAUUUGAUUCGGAUUGGAGGAAGGAGGGGGGAAAAUUACAUAGAACAACACAGUCGCAUUAGACAGUUUUAUUUUUAGGAAACCAGGCUAAGAAUAUCAAAUGAGUAUCAAGUAGGAAUAUGGACGGGGUAUUUGCCUGUUCAGAUUUUCUUGCCAUGAAAGUUUUCAUUCCUUCCUAAGAGCAGCAGAUGAUCUGUCUAGGGAAUUGUCAGCCAAAAUAAGCAACCUGCUGACAGAUUUCACCUGUGUCCCAGCAUGCUCUGAGGAUGCAUGGGAUGUGAGCCUUGAACAAUGACAGGGAAUCACUAGGCUGUGUUCUUUGGCUGCUGGGAUGCAGAGAUGCACAGUGACACCCAACAGUAGAACAAACAUUUACUGUGUUUAAGAUCCAAAUAAAUUUUGAUGGACGUGUURGAUAUUUGCCAGAGCUGAGGGGGCUUUUUGGUAACUUUUUAAGCUGUAUGUGAUCAUAUUAUUUCUGCUAGUAUUGUAACAAAGCCACCUCUGUAAGGUAGGGACUGAGUGCUUUCAGAGAUCUAAUCUUUCUUGAGCUGUAAAGGAAUAAAGAAGCUGUUUCAACACCUGACUUGCAGAAUGUUUUGUGUUGCUUCUUGCCUAUUGAAAUGCAGCUGCCAUUGAAACACUGUGAGCCCAUCAGGAUGUAGAACUGGCUAUUUUUCAGAAUGCUUUCAAGCUUAUAAAAAUCAUGAAAUAAAUCAAGACGGUUGGCAAUUCUAAUCAGCGUUCUAAAGCCAUCAAAUUACAAAACAGCUCAGUGCUUCAUGGCCCCUGAACAGUACAGUUUUACAAAAAUAAAAGAGAAAGAAUGAAAAGAAUGUACCAUUUAAAGACACUGUGCACUUACAAAGCUUGCAUCAAAAGGAAAUGAAGAUACAAAUAAGUAAUCUAAAAGGAUAUUUAUGCAUUAAAUUACUUGUGUCUCUGGACACUUCAUUAAACAGUCUGGAUGUAUGGUAGCUGGGGACCUGGGAGCCUUUUUARCACAUGCAGCACAUACAAGGAACAUUCUGAUUAUAAGUGAUGGAGUAUAAAACGUUGCAGCCAGAAACCGAUGACAAAGAUCAAAUGGAAUGAGUUCAGCUUACRAAUCAGAGCAGUGUCUUCCCACUGGUGUGAUGUGACACGAGACCAAGACUUUGUUUUGCCCUUGACAUUGCCACCAUUGCUCUCAAUCCUGCRGUUAAGGAUUUGCAUCUUGAUUUAUUGUUUGACAGGACAGUGGGGAGUGCCCCAGCUGGUUCUCUGAGCCCUGGGUUGCAGCCGAGUGGGCCCGAAGGUGCCGGAUCAGUGAAGGCUGUGCCAUYUAUGGGCUCUCUGUGCUGCUGCACUACAGCAGCUCCCAGUUGCUAAGCAGCUGCAGGGCUGUCUCUGUGCUGUGCUGUGCUGUGCGAGGGGAGCAGCACGGGUUCCCCUUGAUCGCUGGAGAGGAGCCGGCAGCAUGGAAACGGGAGCAGUGGCCAUGGCAAAAUCGUUCCAUCUCUGGCUGGCUCGUGGACAUGCUGGCAAAAACGCUGGAGCGAGGAGAAAGGACACUCGGUGGAGCAGGGGGUGGCAGGAGGGGAGGGGAGAGCCAGCAUAUGUGCACAGCAGAGGUUACAAAGACAGCAGAUCCUGGCAGAGCAGGGGGCGCACACUGAGGAGAAAGGAAUGGGACAGAGGCCAAAGGCACAGUUCAGAAUUAAAAAAAAAAACAAAAAAAAAACAAA